rnacentral:pre_miRNA from 1 species
UCUUAUGGACCAGCAAAGAAAGUGGUUUCUUGAGAUGGAAUCAACUCCGGAUGAAGAUGCUGUGAA